GAUCCGUUAGCUCAGCUGGUAGAGCACAACACUUUUAAUGUUGGGGUCUUGGG
rnacentral:tRNA from 1 species